AGGAUCAAAUACAUAUUUUUAGGUAUUAUUUCUAAGUACAUAUUUCUAAAGCUACUGCUAAAAAUAAUAUACAUUCUGAAGAGUAAAAACAUAUGAGCACAAGGAAUACUGUGUACCUCUUGGCUUUGAGUGCUAACUUCUUUAUAUUUUUCUCCAUAAACAGAGGAAAGCAGCAGAGCUCUUGGAAAGCAGAGGAAUUGGGGCUUACUGGUAGCUUGCUGGAGAAAUGAUAAGCAACCUGUGCCCCUAAACAUUGGCUCCUAGAGAACAGACUAGCAUGUGGUGUGGAAGGCUGCAGCAAGAAGGGCAGAUUUCCAAAGACCAGGGCUCCCAGGAUGAGAACAAAAGAGCCAUCCAUUUGUAUGCCACCACCUUGGAUUCCACACCAUAUAUCCAACACCGAGGAUAUUUGUGGACCUAUCUUUGAGAAGAAGGUUGGGAUUCCUGAUUCAUCGACUGGGCCAAUCCCUGCAUAAUGUGGUGCUUUAAUGACUGUGACUUUCUUCUCUUCUUCCGAAGUUCUGCAGAUUGGUAUUGUGCUGGUGGUACUGCUGCCGCCAACAGAAUGAGCAUGCUGAGAACCAAGCUUGAAUUGAGUGAGACUGGUGGGGAAUAUCCUGAAGGGGAAAAAGGCCUUUGAAAGUGGCUCAUGGGACUGGUUGCUGAACUAGAGUUCCCGUUCAC